AAGAACCAGAGGGUCAAAUUGCAAUUCGCGAAUUAUGGGGGGAGCCAAAUGGGAAAUAUCCCACUUCCCCAAAACGCAAUGCAGUGAUAUAGACCAAAAUGUGACAAUAUCAAAAUGCAGGGUAAAAAUAAAAAAAUAAAAGGACCGAUUUAAAAAAUCCUGCAAGAGAAGAAGGACCUUUUGCGCAAAUCUCCCUCCCCUGCCAGAACACGCGAAUCUCGCCGCAUCCGGGUCGGGUCAUCGGGUCAAAUGUUAAUACGACACCGUUUUGGAGCCACUGAAUCUAGCCCCAAACGGUGUUGUUUUGAACACUAUUAAAGGCCUCUGAAAAACCCUAAAAGGAACUUAAGAAACAGGAGACCUCUCCUUCUGCUCCCAGCCACCUCACAGGCCCGAAAUCUCGCUACUAUCAGCUCCGAUUUGGAACGGAGCAAGCAGCGAUUCCGACGGCGUGCUCACAGGUAAGAUCCCUCUUUUCUUUUUUAUUUCGACCUAUUUAUGAACGAAGUAGUAAAAAACAAAGAAAAGUAAAGAGAAAAAAAAGAAAUUCAAAAGCCACCUUACGAAACUCUGCUCUUUUUUUUACUUGAAUAUUUUUUUUUGCUUCCUUUGUAUCACUUCUCUGUAUGCGUAAAAAAGGGGAAAAGAGAGCCCCCUUUCAGUACAUCUUUGGGUUUUUUUAUAACUUGAAAACAAAAAGAAAAGAAAACGAAUCCAAAUUCUUUUUUUUUUGUUUUUCUUUUUCUCUGCCUCUCUUUUUUUUGUUUGUGUGUUCCAUUUUGCUGUCGAUUUGUUGUUUGCUGUAGGUACGAAGGAGUCCAGCUGGAGUGUACGGAGGCGCGUGUGAGGAGCGACACGAAGGUGUGGUGGCGCACGCACGAGAGGGGAGCGUGCUGGCUGUACAGCCAUGCGGCGCCUAAGGUUUUCCAGGGUUUCCUGCUUCUGAUUUUGGGCUGCGUUGUGCCUUGGGCACGGGUUAGAUGGGGUAUUUGGGCUAGGGUCUGUUGGGUCUAGUAUUUUCCGGGUUUUGGUAUUUAGAAAUUAAGCCUAUUGUAUUGGGUUAGGUGUUAUUAGGCUGCUUUUUAAUUAUUUCUUUGGACUAUUAUUUUAUUUUAUUUAGUUUAUAUAUGUGAUGUAUAUAGGCCGGGCAUAAAUUGGGCAUUACAUGUGAGAGAUCUUGUGUCCAACUCUCUUUCCUUAAGAUGUUUUUUUUCCCAAACCCUACCUUCAAACAUUUGGUUUAUAUAUUAUUUAGACAUGUAGCAAAGGAGGCAUAAUAUCAUAUAGACAUGUAGGCUCCCAUAUGCAGCUCCGCCUUUAGGCCUCCACGAGCGGACACCUAGCAUGGUAGGCAUAAUAUCAUUUAGACAUGUAUAUAUUACCUAGCAUAAGGUAAUACUUCAUUUUUAAUAAACAAAUAACUUUUUCUUUUUCGAAAACUUGAGUUGAAAAUUAAGAUAAAAAAAUAUUGGAUAAUAUUAUUCACUACAUUAUCAGUUGAAUAAAAGGAUUUCACUGCUGACAUGUAUUUUUUUUAAUUUUAUUUUUAGUAUACGAAAAAUAUUCAAUUUUCACUUGUGAAAUUCUUUUAAUCCAAUAUCACAUAAAAUAAUAAUCCAAAAUUACUAAUACAUAUAUUUUUUUUUACUUCAGUUUCCAAAUAUUCAUUAUCUAUAAAAUGAAUCCAAUAUUAAGAAAAUAAUAAAUUCCGAAACAAUUUCUCGACAAUUUUGUCAAAACCAAGAACCUGAAAUGUUAGAACUACAUUAAUUCCAAAAGAAACCUGUUGGAGGCAAAAUCAGAAGGGCCUGUAUGAAAU
rnacentral:lncRNA from 1 species